GAGAACUUCCUCAUCUGGUGUCAGGGAGGAGUCGAAUUUCCAGAGACAAUAACAAGUUUUUACAACCAAGGAAUUUGUCCUUAAAACUUUCAAGCUUUAAACCAAUAAAGCAUUUGCUGAUUCUGUAAGCAAUUACAUAAAACUCAAAUGCUUAUCCACGUCUUAAAUAUAUAAGCCAUAAUCUGUUCUCAUUAGUUAAGAACAUGGCUAAUUUCACAUGUGAUCAUUGAACUUUUCACUAAAUUCCAUUAUGAUCACUAGAGAAUUUUUUUUGUUCCAUGAAAAAUAAUAAAUUAAAAAUUAGUCUCAAUUGAAUCACCGUGAUUUCUUAUAACCGUAUUGUUUACAAUAUUUUUUACAAUAAAAGCUGUUCAUGGACCUACUUGACUGAAAAAUCUUCCUCCUCUGCCGCCUCCUUGUUCUACUUCAACUCCUGAUGUAUACGAAGGAGUGUGCUUCGUUUGAAAAAUUCAUACCUCUCUACGUAUCUCUGAGAUGUUUGGAUUUUUCAAAACUCCAUGGACAUGCAACAGAGAAAUGCUAUCUCCACUCAGACCAAGACAUAAGUUUACAAUUUACAAAAAAAGCUGUUCACGAAGGACCUACUUGACUGAAUCUUCUUCCUCCAAAGCUUUGUUUCCUCAAUAUGGAAUAAUUAAAAAAAAAAUUCAAGCCUAUAAACCUAGGAAAAUCACUUCCAAAACCUUUUGGUGUCUCCACUUGGUGGUUGGCAUAUAACCCACCAGAAUGUUCCCUCCCUCUCUUUCAAUAUAUAAGCAUCACUUCACUCCUAUCCUCCUAAUAUCAGAACCUAAGAGAAUCAAAUCCCAAAACAUCUACUACAAGAGCAUUGUUGAAUCUCUUUUCCAUUUUUCAAUGUGGAAUUUAUGGUAAAGGUGCAGAACAUUGUUGUCAAAAGCGCUAGGCG
rnacentral:misc_RNA from 1 species